rnacentral:tRNA from 1 species
GCCCGAGUGAUGGAAUAGGUAGACAUUCCAGACUUAAAAUCUGGUGGAGGCAACUCCGUACCGGUUCGAGUCCGGUCUCGGGCA